GCGGAUUGAGGGGUGAGCUUUGAGGAGCUGAAGACAAUCCAUGAUAAGGAAUAGCUCCUCCCAGUUGAAUAAAUCUGCAGACCCACUUCUCAGAGCUUCUACAAGAUCCACACGGUUGGACUCCACUAUUAAGUUAUCAGUUAUGUCUUCGUUCGAUGCUGCAAUUUGGAGUGCUUCCAGGACGGCUAGGUUUUCAGCUUGAGAGACAGAGGAAACCUUCACCGAUUUAGCAAAGCCCGUGACAAUUGCGCCUGUAUAAUCUCGACAUAUACCAGCUAUGGCGCCAUCCGCAGAUCCAUCAACUAAGGAGGCAUCGACAUUAAACUUUAGGACUUUCUCUCUCGGUGGCAUCCAUGUCCGUGACUCAGUAAGAGUAGGAUUUUUCCUCAUUUUAGGUUUGUGGGGGUUCCGUUUUCUGUAGUUCGCUUGCAAGAAAAGUAAUGAUUCCGCUGUUUCUUUGGCAUUCGGAUGUAUACCCCGAAAAAUGAAGUUAUUUCGGGAUUUCCAGAUGUUUCACAGAGAGGGACAGAGCAGAAAGAUGUGUUCAAUCGUCUCCUUCUCCCGUUGAUAGAGGGGGGCAUAACGGGUCAGGUAUAAUAUUCCUCUUCCAUAGAUUCUCUUUUGAAGGGAUUGCAUUAGUACAAAGAGAUCAUAGAAAGACUUUUACCUUAUGGAAAAUCUGUAUAUCCCAAAUAGCUCUCCAAAGUGUUUUAGGAAUUUGGUAUGAAGAGGAAGCUUGUUUAGUGUUGCACUUCUGUUCAAUCUCUGUUCUGAUCAUGUUGUAGCCAUUUUUAACAGUAUAGCGGCCUGAUUGAGUACCUACCCACACUAAUUUAUCCUGAGCGUAGGAAGGCCUAAUUGGAAUUGUUUGAAUCUCUUGCACUAACUUAUCAUAAAAAAGGUCCUCUAUUUUUUUUUGUAUUCCACUUUCUUUCCUCAACUAAGAUCAAUUAUGACACCAUGACAAGGUCAUUUUUUUUUGCUGGCCCCAAUUACUCCUCUUUUUAGCCAUUUUUGCUCCUUGAUUUUUACUGAUUUUCCGUUCCCAAUCAACCACAUAACAGAAUUGGCAAUAGAAUCCCUCCCCAAUAACAAACUCUACCAUCCCCAAGACGGUCUGGAACCUCGCUUGGCUUGCCAAUAAUCUCCUCGAGGAAAAUAAAUACCUUUGAAUAGCUUGCUCCAGAGGGAUUCAGGAUUUUGCAAGAGUCUCCAUGCUUGUUUACCGAGCAUAGCCUUAUUAACUGAAAUAAGAUCUCUAAACCCCAUUCGUCCUUUGUCUUUCCUCAUCUUUAGGAUGUUCCAUUUUUUCCAGUGAAGUCCUGUUUUGGAAACAGUAGAUUUCCACCAAAAGUUUGUGAUCUUUCUCUCAAUAGCUUUGCAAACAGAAAUGGGUAUUUUGAAGAUUGACAUAGCAUAGUUGGGAUGGACUUGUACCAUUGUUUUCAGAAGAAUCUCCUUUCCAGCUUUAGAAAACAAUUGUUCAUUCCAACCUUCCAAUUUAGCAUUUACUCUUCCAAGAAUCCAAGCGAACAUUUUCCUCUUUGAUGUGCCCCAGCCCGAGGGUAUGCCUAAGUAUUUGCCAGUGUGGCCAGUCUCAGGUAUCCUUUAACUCCUUCGCCAUAUUUUCUCGUAGUACAUGAGGACAUCCCUUACUGAAAUAAAUGCCCGACUUGUUUAAGUUAAUGGCUUGACCUGAUACAUAAUAGUAUUGAUUGAGUAUCAUUGAAAUAUUUUGGCAUUCCAAUAAAGUUCCAUCCAGGAAAAAGAUGGAGUCAUCAGCAAACAGGAGGUGUGAGAGUGUCGAACUAAAUCUAUUCAGUUUGAUGCCCUUAAUACUUCCAUUGUCCACUGCUUUAUUUAUCAUGAAAGACAGACAAUUAGCCACAAGAAUAAACAGGUAUGGGGAAAGAGGAUCUCCCUGCCUAAUACCUUUUGAGGGAUUAAAGAAAAGGAGGGAUUCUCCAUUAAACUUCACACUGAAGGAGACUAUUGUCACACACUGCAUGACCCAACUGAUCCACUUAUCAUUGAAAUCCAUUUUGAUCAUACAAGCUUCCAGGAAGUUCAACUCUAUUCGAUCAUAGGAUUUUUGCAUAUCUAAUUUUAAAACAGCCUAAAAUUUCCUUUGUCUAUCCCUGGUUCUCAACCGAUGCAGGACCUCUUGUAUAAUCAAAAUGUUGUCUUGUAUUUGCCGGCCACAAACAAAAGCACUUUGUUCUUCAACGGUCAAUUUAGGUGGCCACCUCUUUAGCCUAUUAGCCAAGAUUUUUGAGAUGACAAGUCGGUUUUUAUUGAAAUAUUAUCCUUUUAAUAUAAAAAAGAACAAUUUAUCAAAGUAUUUAUACCACUUGUCCAUGCUAUAUAGGUAACAAUAACCGUCAAAUUUGGUGUCCACCUCCUAAAUUACUAUCAAUUUACUUUUUUCACCAUAAA